rnacentral:rRNA from 1 species
GCACAAGCGGUGGAGUAUGUGGUUUAAUUCGAUGCAACGCGAAGAACCUUACCUGGUCUUGACAUCCCGGAGACCCUUAGGAAACUAGGGGUGCUUCCAUCUGGAAGAAUCUGGAGACAGGUGCUGCAUGGCUGUCGUCAGCUCGUGUCGUGAGAUGUUGGGCUAAGUCCCGCAACGAGCGCAACCCUUGCCUUUAGUUGCCAGCAGUUCGGCUGGGCACUCUAAAGGGACUGCCGGUGUUAAACCGGAGGAAGGUGGGGAUGACGCCAAGUCCUCAUGGCCUUUAUGACCAGGGCUACACACGUACUACAAUGGCCGAUACAAAGGGCAGCGACACUGCGAGGUGAAGCCAAUCCCGUAAAAUCGGUCUCAGUCCGGAUUGGAGUCUGCAACUCGACUCCAUGAAGUUGGAAUCGCUAGUAAUCGUGGAUCAGCAUGCCACGGUGAAUACGUUCCCGGGCCUU